rnacentral:tRNA from 1 species
UGCGGGUUUGUGUAACGGCAGCACGACUGACUCUGGCUCAGUUUGUUAGGGUUCAAAUCCUUAACCCGCAGCCA